UCCGGUUUGUCACCGGCAGUCUCAUUAGAGUGCUCUUUCGUAGCAACUAAUGACAAGGGUUGCGCUCGUUGCGGGACCUAACCCAACAUCUCACGACACGAGCUGACGACAGCCAUGCAGCACCUGUGUUACGGUUCUCUUUCGAGCACUCCCAAAUCUCUCCGGGAUUCCGUACAUGUCAAGGGUAGGUAAGGUUUUUCGCGUUGCAUCGAAUUAAUCCACAUCAUCCACCGCUUGUGCGGGUCCCCGUCAAUUCCUUUGAGUUUUAAUCUUGCGACCGUACUCCCCAGGCGGUCUACUUCACGCGUUAGCUGCGGCACCGAGGGGGUCGAUACCCCCGACACCUAGUACUCAUCGUUUACAGCGUGGACUAC
rnacentral:misc_RNA from 1 species